CGUUUGCGACGCCCAACACACAAAACAAGCGGUGAGUGCUUUGGGGUGGGGUGACUGCGUACCUUUUGUAUAAUGGGUCAGCGACUUAUAUUCUGUAGCAAGGUUAACCGUAUAGGGGAGCCGCAGGGAAACCGAGUCUUAACCGGGCGUUAAGUUGCAGGGUAUAGACCCGAAACCCGGUGAUCUAGCCAUGGGCAGGUUGAAGGUUGGGUAACACUAACUGGAGGACCGAACCGACUAAUGUUGAAAAAUUAGCGGAUGACCUGUGGCUGGGGGUGAAAGGCCAAUCAAACCGGGAGAUAGCUGGUUCUCCCCGAAAGCUAUUUAGGUAGCGCCUCGUGAAUUCAUCUCCGGGGGUAGAGCACUGUUUCGGCUAGGGGGCCAUCCCGGCUUACCAACCCGAUGCAAACUGCGAAUACCGGAGAAUGUUAUCACGGGAGACACACGGCGGGUGCUAACGUCCGUCGUGAAGAGGGAAACAACCCAGACCGCCAGCUAAGGUCCCAAAGUCAUGGUUAAGUGGGAAACGAUGUGGGAAGGCCCAGACAGCCAGGAUGUUGGCUUAGAAGCAGCCAUCAUUUAAAGAAAGCGUAAUAGCUCACUGGUCGAGUCGGCCUGCGCGGAAGAUGUAACGGGGCUAAACCAU
rnacentral:rRNA from 1 species